GCUUAUAUAGUUUAAUUAAAAUUUUAAUUUGUGGAUUUAAUGAUGUGAAUUUCACUAUAGGCC
rnacentral:tRNA from 1 species